rnacentral:lncRNA from 1 species
GUCAGGGCUCUUUGCGAGGAGCUCCGUGUGGAGAUCAACGAGGUGAAGGAGCAGCAGUCCCACAUGGAGGAGAACAUGCAGAAGAUGCAGGAGAUUCUGGACACGGCAAACUUGGAGGAUAUGGCAGAGAACCUCCACAACGAGCUGACAGACCCUGUCAUGGACACUGUCACGUCUUCCAUGAAGGACAUUAUGGGCGAGGACGGACAGGUCCCCCCAGACUGGCAGCAGGUCCCCCCAGACUGGCAGCAGGUCCCCCCGGACUGGCAGCAGGGGCCUGGCACGCGCUCACACCCCUGGGAGGACCAGGGGCUGAUCGUCAUUGGCAAUGAAAGUACGUCUGGGCAGGCCUGGGGAGGGGAUCCAGUGGGUGGGAGGGGCACAGUGGGGCAGACAGGGCACCUGUGGACUGCUGGGUUUUCCCCCAGCUGUGUUCCCCAGGGCUCCCCCAACCCCAGAGAGUUCCCCCUGUUCUCUUCUUCCAGUUGUCCUCACGGACAGGUUCAGGGCAUCCUCACCAAGACAGCGGGAUCCCCGGACCCCCAGCCCUGCGCCCUCAAAAGCCACAGACGGGGCACAGAGCAGAGGGAAGGAUUUGCCACCUGGGGUCACGAGCAGCCCCCGAGUCUCCUUCAUGACAAGUGACAUGGGAUGGAACGACAUGGGACGGAACAGCAUGGGGCCGAUCAAGGAUGAAGAGAUCCAGAUGGGCAUCUCCAAGGGAGCAGCUCUUCCCGGCCCCAAGGCAUGGAGCAAAGGGAAGAACUUGCCCCAUGGGGCUGUGAGCAGCCCCCGAGUGUCCUUCAUGGAAAGCGAUAUGGGAUGGAAUGACACGGGACAGUUCCAGGAUGAAGAGAUCAAGAUGGGCAUCUCCAAGGGAGCGGCUGUUCGAAGCUCAAGGGCAUGGAGCAGAGGGAAGAACUUGCUGCACGGGGUCACGAGCAGCCCCCGAGUGUCCUUCGUGGAAAGUGACGUGGGAUGGGAUGACGUGGAUCAGAGCGGGGAUGAUGAGGAGACCAAGAUAAGCAUCUCAAAGGCAGAGGCUCUUCCCAGCCUCCUGCAUGUUCCCCCUGAGAUGAAGGACGUGAAACAUAUCAAGGACGAAGAGAUCAAGAUGAGAAUCUCCAAGGCAGAGUCUCUUCCCAGGCCGCUGGGUUCUCCCCCUGAGAUGAGCGACAUGGAGCGGAUCAAGGACGAAGAAGUUGAGAUGAGCUUCUCUAAGACAAAGAGUUUGGAUGGCAGUGUCACUGCCCCGAGAGUGCAUCCAGGAUCCCCUGGCAUCCACGCCCCCAUCCCAACGAAGGCAGCACGAGGCCACCCAGCAUCACAGAGCCUCUGGAUGCCAGCUGAGAGUGUGGCUGGGACUGACAGGUGA